AAGUUUCUGUGUAACUGUGGGUCCUGCCAGAACUCCCAGUUGGUCUACUUUUUAAACACGCCAGGCAAUGGUCACACCCGUCAGCAGCCUGGCCGCCUUGAGAAGGAAGCAAACUGUUCCCCUGCAGAUGACCUACCAUUUCGAGAAGUGGGGAAGAAUAGCAUUUGAAGCAAACUUUCAAUGUGUGUGGAAAGAUGACCACGUAUGAGAGACAGAGGAAGGACUGACAGUGAAAUGUACAUAGGAUUGUUUGAAAAGGAGGAUACAGAUGGAAUAUCGUUCACCAACAUUUCUUGAGUGCUUGCUAUAAUCAGGCACCGGUCGAAGCACUUUAUGUAGGGUGAUCCAACAUGGUUUGCCAUCACAGUACCGGACAAACACUAUCAUCUCCAUUUUGUUGAUAAGAAAGAGCAGGCACGGGGAAGUUACAUAACUCGCCCAAGGUUACACUGUUCCGAAAGGGGAUUUGAACCCCAGGACGUCUGGUCCUGGGAUCUCUGCGCUUCAGCACCUCCUGACCCCACAGAGGAAAUACAAUUACGGUGUUGUUUGGAAAACAAACCGCCACAGACUAGGAAUGAGAGAGAGAGAUUUUUCUGUUUUUAUUUUUAUUUUUAAAAAUUUUAAAUGCUUAUUUUUAUUCUGAGAGAGAGAGUGAGAAGGAGCAAGGGCAAGUAAGGGAGGGUCAGAGAGAGAGGGAGAGGGAGAGAAUCCCAAGAAGGCUCCACGCUGUCAGUGCAGAGUCUGAUGCGGGGCUUGUACUCACGAACCCGUGAGAUCAUGACCGGAGCCGAAAUCAAGAGUUGGAUGCUCAACCGACUGAAUCAGCCAGGCGCCCCAUUUUCCUGUUCUUAAACUACCGAGAACGAUAGUAAAUUUAGUGGGAAAAGCCAAAGGAGAGGAAGCUCGCUCUUGUCUAACCUUACCCCAGAAGUGGGAAGGGAGUUGACAUCCCAAAUCUCCCAUAAGCCUUUGCUGAGCUUGCACUUGGAAUGCUACCUAUGUAGAAUACCUUAAUGCUAAGGUGGAAGAGAUAAAUGGAGUGGAAUUUAGAAAAAGUACAAGAAUGACCCCAUGAGAGAUUGGGGAGGAAAGAUGAAAAGAAACACACAAAAAAACUAAAUAAGUAAAACUUGGAGAAGCAUCAGUUAAUGUAGAACUCAACAGGAUCCUAGACACAUUUACAGGAGAAAGGAAGGGCCUAAAAAUGUCAUGAAGGAGAUUGGAAAUCGGUAAAACAGCAAGUCUGAGAGGAAAGCAAAUUAAGGGAAUUCAGAUUUGUGUCAAUGUCUUGCCGGGUCCAUAAUGCAAGCUCUGUUUUCUUGGAAUACUGAAGCCCGAGCUAGAGAUUUCACAGGAAAGACUGAUUUUCUUCCCUGCCUUGUGCUGUUGAGGCUUAAAGAUAGGCUAAAACAGUACGGCUUAAAAACCGUGCCUGGGUAGCUCAGUGGGUUAAUCAUCUCACUCUUGAUGUGGGCUCAGGUCAUGAUCUUGUGCUUUGGUGAGUUCAAGCCCCGUGUCGGGCUCUGAGCUGCCCCAAAGCCUGCUUGGGAUUCUCCCUCUCUCUCUUCCCCUGCCCCACUUGCAUCGUCUCUGUGUCUCUCAAAAUAAAUUUUAAAAACUUAAAAAAAAACAAACCAACCCCACAAUUGCUUUGUAUCAUCGUAAUAGGUGGCAGGCCUCCAUAACUUUUAUAUUCAC
rnacentral:lncRNA from 1 species